CUGCUGCCUCCCGUAGGAGUCUGGUCCGUGUCUCAGUACCAGUGUGGGGGACCUUCCUCUCAGAACCCCUACGCAUCGUCGCCUUGGUGGGCCGUUACCCCGCCAACUAGCUAAUGCGACGCAUGACCAUCCGUAGCCGGAAUCGCUUCCUUUAAACCCGAGGAGAUGCCUCCUCGGGUUGUUACGCGGUAUUAGACGGAAUUUCUUCCGCUUAUCCCCCUGCUACGGGCAGGUUUCAUACGUGUUACUCACCCGUGCGCCGGUCGCCGGCGGAG
rnacentral:rRNA from 1 species